GCCCUCUAAGGAUGGCACCUGGAGAGUUUCCAGUACUCUAUUGGUCUCAGCUAUGGGAGGUAGAGUCAAGCAGAAGCCUACUCAUUCCAUUCCCAGCUUGGCCAGUGGCUAGAGAAUGGAAGGCAAUCUGCGACAAGU